rnacentral:rRNA from 1 species
UACGUAGGGUGCAAGCGUUUGUCCGGAAUUAUUGGGCGUAAAGAGCUUGUAGGCGGUUUGUCGCGUCUGCUGUGAAAUUUCGGGGCUCAACCCCGAACUUGCAGUGGGUACGGGCAGACUAGAGUGUGGUAGGGGAGACUGGAAUUCCUGGUGUAGCGGUGAAAUGCGCAGAUAUCAGGAAGAACACCCGUGGCGAAGGCGGUCUCUGGGACGGUACUGACGCUGAGACGCGAAAGCGUGGGGAGCGAACAGG